rnacentral:rRNA from 1 species
AAUCCCUGAUAUUAACAAAGGUUAUUCCGCUUUAAGAUGACUCGAUAAAUCAUAGAGAUAGGUAGUUGUUAAGGNAUGGCUUAACUAGCCCAAAACUCUUAGUCGAAACUUAAUGGUUGAUCGACCACAUUGGGAAUGAAAAAAUCCCAAUACAUGCAAGUACGGCUUUGGGCAAUAUUGGUCAUUGGUCUAACGACUGAACUGGCUUCUUGGAGGAAUGGCCUAAUUUACUAAAGUAUUAUUUAGUGAAUAUUAGAGUGAAAUGGUUAAAUCGAUUCUCGAAUAAAAUUCUAAAUAUAUAAAUUAUAAUGACUAUAUAUAUUUAUGUCUUGACUAAUUACGUGCCAGCAGUCGCGGUAAUACGUAAGAGACUAGUGUUAAUCAUUUUUAUUAGGUUUAAAGGGUACCUAGACGGGAGAAAUUUGCCUGAAAAGGAACAAUUUCUAUCUAGAGUUUAAUAUGGGAAGGUAGAACCUAAGGAGUAGAGAUUGAAUUUGUUUAUACCUGUAGGGACUGAUAAGGGCGAAGGCAACCUUUUAUGUAAUAACUGACGUUGAAGUACGAAGGCUUAGGUAACGAAUAGGAUUAGAUACCCUAGUAGUCUAAGCAGAUAACGAUGAAUGCCAUAAGUUAGGAUAUACUUAACUUCUAAAUGAAAAUAUAAGCAUUCCACCUCAAGAGUAACGUGGCAACACGGAAACUGUAAUCACUAGACCGUUUCUGACAACAGUAGUGAAGUAUGUUAUUUAAUUCGAUGAUCCUCGAAAAACCUUACCACAAUUGGAAUUUUAUUUAUAGUAUCAGAUAUUAUAAAUAUUACGAGUGUUGCACGGCUGUUUUCGGUUAAUGUUGUGAAACUGUGGCUACGGCCAUGAAAUUAACGAAAACCCUUGCUUUAUUUAUAAACAUUAUUAUAAAGCAGAUUUAAUCUUUAUAUGGAUUUAAUAAUAGGGCCAAAGACAAGUCAUCAUGACCUUUAUAUUGUGGGCUAUAGACGUGCCACAUAUUCCUAGACAAAGAGAUGCGAAAAUGUGAAUUUGAGCUAAUCUCAAAAAAUAGGAUAAAAUAGGAUAUGGAUUGUAGUCUGAAACUCGACUACAUGAAUAAGUAAUUACUAGUAAUC